rnacentral:rRNA from 1 species
UAGGGAAUCUUCGGCAAUGGACGAAAGUCUGACCGAGCAACGCCGCGUGAGUGAGGAAGGUUUUCGGAUCGUAAAACCCUGUUGGUAGAGAAGAACGUUGGUGAGAGUGGAAAGCUCAUCAAGUGACGGUAACUACCCAGAAAGGGACGGCUAACUACGUGCCAG